rnacentral:rRNA from 1 species
GACGAACGCUGGCGGCGUGCUUAACACAUGCAAGUCGAACGGAAAGGCCCUGCUUUUGUGGGGUGCUCGAGUGGCGAACGGGUGAGUAACACGUGAGUAACCUGCCCUUGACUUUGGGAUAACUUCAGGAAACUGGGGCUAAUACCGGAUAGGAGCUCCUGCUGCAUGGUGGGGGUUGGAAAGUUUCGGCGGUUGGGGAUGGACUCGCGGCUUAUCAGCUUGUUGGUGGGGUAGUGGCUUACCAAGGCUUUGACGGGUAGCCGGCCUGAGAGGGUGACCGGCCACAUUGGGACUGAGAUACGGCCCAGACUCCUACGGGAGGCAGCAGUGGGGAAUAUUGCACAAUGGGCGGAAGCCUGAUGCAGCAACGCCGCGUGCGGGAUGACGGCCUUCGGGUUGUAAACCGCUUUCGCCUGUGACGAAGCGUGAGUGACGGUAAUGGGUAAAGAAGCACCGGCUAACUACGUGCCAGCAGCCGCGGUGAUACGUAGGGUGCGAGCGUUGUCCGGAUUUAUUGGGCGUAAAGGGCUCGUAGGUGGUUGAUCGCGUCGGAAGUGUAAUCUUGGGGCUUAACCCUGAGCGUGCUUUCGAUACGGGUUGACUUGAGGAAGGUAGGGGAGAAUGGAAUUCCCUGGUGGAGCGGUGGAAUGCGCAGAUAUCAGGAGGAACACCAGUGGCGAAGGCGGUUCUCUGGGCCUUUCCUGACGCUGAGGAGCGAAAGCGUGGGGAGCGAACAGGCUUAGAUACCCUGGUAGUCCACGCUGUAAACGGUGGGUACUAGGUGUGGGGUCCAUUCCACGGGUCCCGUGCCGUAGCUAACGCUUUAAGUACCCCGCCUGGGGAGUACGGCCGCAAGGCUAAAACUCAAAGGAAUUGACGGGGCCCCGCACAAGCGGCGGAGCAUGCGGAUUAAUUCGAUGCAACGCGUAGAACCUUACCUGGGUUUGACAUGGAUCGGGAGCGCUCAGAGAUGGGUGUGCCUCUUUUGGGGUCGGUUCACAGGUGGUGCAUGGCUGUCGUCAGCUCGUGUCGUGAGAUGUUGGGUUAAGUCCCGCAACGAGCGCAACCCUUGUUCACUGUUGCCAGCACGUUAUGGUGGGGACUCAGUGGAGACCGCCGGGGUCAACUCGGAGGAAGGUGGGGAUGACGUCAAGUCAUCAUGCCCCUUAUGUCCAGGGCUUCACGCAUGCUACAAUGGCCGGUACAGAGAGUGGCGAGCCUGUGAGGGUGAGCGAAUCUCGGAAAGCCGGUCUCAGUUCGGAUUGGGGUCUGCAACUCGACCUCAUGAAGUCGGAGUCGCUAGUAAUCGCAGAUCAGCAACGCUGCGGUGAAUACGUUCCCGGG